AUUGAACGCUGGCGGCAGGCCUAACACAUGCAAGUCGAGCGGAUGAAGGGAGCUUGCUCCUGGAUUCAGCGGCGGACGGGGGAGUAAUGCCUAGGAAUCUGCCUGGUAGUGGGGGAUAACGUCCGGAAACGGGCGCGAAUACUGCAUACGUCCUGAGGGAGAAAGUGGGGGAGCUUCGGACCUCACGCGAUCAGAUGAGCCGAGGUCGGAUUAGCUAGUUGGUGGGGUAAAGGCCUACCAAGUCGACGAUCCGUAAGUGGUCUGAGAGGAUGAUCACUCACAUGGGAGCUUGGCCACGCUCCAGGCUCCUACGGGAGGGACCAGUGGGCAACGUUGGGCAGUGGUCGGGAGUCUGGUCCAGCCGUCCCGCGUGUGUGGAGGAGGUCUUCGGAUUGUAAUGCACUUUAACUUGUGAGGAAGCGCAUUAAGUUAAUACCUUGCUGUUUUGACGUUACCGACAGAAUAAGCACCGGCUAACUUCGUG
rnacentral:rRNA from 1 species